rnacentral:rRNA from 1 species
UACGUAGGGGGCUAGCGUUGUCCGGAAUCAUUGGGCGUAAAGCGCGCGUAGGCGGCCCGGUAAGUCCGCUGUAAAAGUCAAAGGCUCAACCUUUGAAUGUCAGUGGAUACUGCCGGGCUAGAGUCCGGAAGAGGCGAGUGGAACUCCUGGUGUAGCGGUGGAAUGCGCAGAUAUCAGGAAGAACACCGACGGCGAAGGCAGCUCGCUGGGACGGUACUGACGCUGAGGCGCGAAAGCAUGGGGGGCGAACAGG